AGGCCCCUUACUAAGCNCNUUCUAGCCGAACAGAUGAUAUAAUCUUAAUCUCAACAGCAGUAAACAAAUNUAGCCCUAGCCCAGGGCUU
rnacentral:rRNA from 1 species